rnacentral:rRNA from 1 species
ACACCGGCAGCUCUAGUGGUAGCUGUUUUUAUUGGGCCUAAAGCGUUCGUAGCCGGUUUGAUAAGUCACUGGUGAAAUCCUGUAGCUUAACUGUGGGAAUUGCUGGUGAUACUGUUGAACUUGAGGUCGGGAGAGGUUAGCGGUACUCCCAGGGUAGAGGUGAAAUUCUGUAAUCCUGGGAGGACCACCUGUGGCGAAGGCGGCUAACUGGAACGAAACUGACGGGGAGGGACGAAAGCUAGGGGCGCGAACCGGAUUAGAUACCCGGGUAGUCCUAGCCGUAAACGAUGCGGACUUGGUGUUGGGAUGGCUUUGAGCCGCUCCGGUGCCGAAGGGAAGCUGUUAAGUCCGCCGCCUGGGAAGUACGGUCGCAAGACUGAAACUCAAAUGAAUUGACGGGG